GACUCCCCCCAGUUUGUGGUGCUGCUGGCCUCUCAAGAUGUCAGUGUGUUCUAAACACACACUAUCCAGUUCCACCUCCCACUCUGGAGCAUGGAAACUCAAGCAGUCCUGAAGUUUGCAGGCCAGCCUCCAUUUGAGCAUUUGCCCAUAAGAUUUUGUACUCAGAAUGGAGAUUGUUAUGUUGGAUACCAGAUGAUGCAGUUUUGUGAACCCCUGGAGCAGGAAAGUCGUGUUCAUCAUUGGCCGGCACAAAGUCCAGACCCAGUUCAUAGCAAUGAUUCUAAUGGUUAUGGAAGUCUUGGUGGCAAUGGGUCUUAGGAACGUUACAUCAGCAUAGCGUCCUCGAGUGACUCCAGUGGGAAUUGUGCUGAGGAAAUACAGCAGAACUAGUAAGUCUAUCAAUGUGACAUUGCCCAGGUAACAAUAGAAAUAUAAUAAUAAAACUGAAAAUUCUCACUGCA
rnacentral:lncRNA from 1 species